ACUGGCAUGUAGAUUUUUUAUUAUUAUUUUUUUUUCACACGAAUAAGGUGUACACACAAACAUUCGUGUGUUAUUAGUACGAAUGAACUGCCGAUUGUUUGCAUCCAUUUACAAUAGUUAGUUUUUUUUUCGUCCCAGUUUAUUUGCGCCGGUUCAUGACAUCCGGUUACCCAAUACCUGUACGUUAUUAUAUAGUCGGGUGUAUAAUUGCGGACCUGCCGUUAUCAUAUAGAGCUAUUGCAAUAACCACUGACUGAACAAGAAUGAUGCGCGCGCUCCAUUGAGUUACAAUAGUUAGAUAUUAGGAACACAGCGUAAAAAAUGUCGACUUAACACUUUACGCGAGCAGAACUAGGUGUACGGCGCCGUUGUACAAUGAGGUUUUCCUUCGUCCGAACGGUGUAGAUGUGCAGAACUGUUUGGAGAAGGCACGUCGUAGGUUUAGCCGGAGGCGCAAAAAAAAUGAUUUUGUUAGUUUUCCUUUUUGAACAAGGCGUGCUAAGUGAGAACGUAAAUAAAACUAUUCCGGCGAGUGCAGUUACGGUUCUAUUUUCGGAACACUGUGUUUAUAACGGGGAGCUCGGAAACGCCUCUAAAAUUAUGUUAUCUGUAAUCGCUGGGUCGACGCGAAAAAGGGGAAGACGCCGGGUUGUCGUUGUCGCUGUUAUGUUGUAAUGGGUGGGCCGGGCUGCGAGUACUUUAUUAACAUGUACGGGGGGCAACUGGAGUGCGAAAAUCUCUAUCUAGACUCGCAUCCGGCCGAAAACGACCGCGAGAAGAUGACGAAGAGGGGAGGGUUGGAAAGAGUGAAACGAGGAGAAGUGCCGAGAAAUGAGACUACUGCGCUCUAUCGUCGCGCCUGUCUGGGGUCCGUUCUGCUGCACAGUAAUAUCUAUAACAACACAUAGUCCCAUAGAAUACGCGUACUAGCUUUGAACACCUCACUGUUGGGUAGAAAACCGGAUAAAUAAUUUCUGUUUUAAAAUCUCACGGUAUUUCCAGUUGCAGUACUCGAAAUUACCGUAGUGUUGAGCGUAUAAAAUUUCUAUUUAAAAAAGACGGUUAUUGAAGUCGAAAAACGUUGGUGUUGAUUUUGCGGGUUUCGGCCGUACAAUGUUGUUAUUGAAAUCUCGAACAUUACAAGCUCUUAAUUGUGUACGGUUCACACGGACAUGUCUAUAAAUAGAGUUGGUCGUACGAAUAUACAUACACACGUGUGCGUUGUUAAUAAGGUGGUAGAACGACAAACCGUUGUACUUGUGCGGUAGUGUUGCCGAUCAGAACAGAAUCGUAUUGUCAUUAAGGCGACAGCGGACUGCCUAUGCUUCUGGAGAAGAGGGCGUGGUCUGAACUGGUGCUGACGGCCCCGGCAAAGGGGUUCGGAGUGCAGAAAGGGAGGCGGUGGCAGCGAUCGAUGGCAGAGUAGGCUGCGUGUUGUGUGCCAGUGUUUACUUAAUGUGAAUAUAAUAUUAAAUAAACACACACACACCAAUGUGUUUCCAAUGAACAUGUACACGUAUAUUACAACACAUAUAUUUAGCUGCAUAGGAGGGUGUCUAAUAUGGAGGCACUGUGAAUUCAAUUGUGAUUAUUAUUCAAAAUAAGGGCUUGUGUAAAGUUAUACAUUUUUAUAUUCCAGUUGACAUUUUAUCGCUUACUCGUUGAAUUUAAGAGAUGGGCACAGUCGAUGCAAAGACUAAUUACUUUUAUCCGACUGGUGUUUCGAUUUGUUUUCCCUUGAAAAAAAUCACCAGUUUAACUCAAAAUUAACUUGCGUAGGUUUUGUACGGGGGACGUAAUACAGAAAAUUGUUAACACAUCAACGAUAAAAAAAAUUCUCUCCGUACAUCUCUCUCUGUGUAAUGAUUAAUUUUAUGACGUGUAAACUCUCUACUCGUGCGGAGACAACCCGCUGACGAUAAUCGAUUAACGCAGUUGCCGCUGCCGUAAAACCGCGUGUAUCCUUUACACGCCUCGUCAAUAAUAAUAAAUAAAUAAUGGAAUAAAUAAAAAAAGAAAACAAAUCGAAGUGCCCCUUGUCUCCGUAACGAUAAUACUGAGUGUGUUGUUUCGGUCAGCACCGGAUGCAUAAAGAAGAGACGCCGUUAAAAUAUUAUAAUCGUCAUCGUCGAACGUAUGUCGCUUGUAAGAGACUAUAAAAAUAAAUAAAAAAUUACCCGACUUCGCCUUGGUCUAUUCGCCUACCGAAAAAAUGUACGAAGUAGGUUUUUUAACGCUGUCAAUAACGAAAACAACAUCGCGGUUCUAGCAGCCGGUUGACGCGCGCGCGGUAAUAGUAAUUUCGUAAUUAUCCGUUGAAGUCGUUAUUUAUUUUAUUUCAUUUCACGUGCACGUUAUUAAUAUACGACGACAAGACACGCGGUUUCGUAUCGCCAGUUUGAUUAUAAUUUUUUAUGAAAAUACACUUUGCUCGUUACAAAUACUCGCUAUCGUCUCGAUUGUUGUUAUUAACGUUGUUUAUUUACGACUUCCCGUUUUGUGAAGACGCGCCGGACUCAUCGAGAACGCAAUCGGCGUUAUUACUUUGCUGUUACUGCCGUUGGAGUUUUUUGUUUAUCGUUUAUGCGACAUUUCGGACUAUACAAUAUUCAGUGGAUUCACAAAAGGUCAAUUGUUCACUCGGCGGUGUCCGUUUUGCAACGACCAAACCUUUUACAAAUAUUGUCACCCGGUAAAUUGUUUAACCAACGAUUCAUUACAACGACCUUUGAGACCGUUGUGAACUUGAUGUUACUUCACGCGGAUUCCAACUCGGUCGCGUCUCGUCGGAAAAGCCAUAACGUCCGGAUUACCGGAAAACCGUUGACGGAUCGAUUUAGAUUUCCAUCUGACGGUUGACGAUUGAAAACGGUCGUGGCAUUCGACAACCGGAGAUUUCCACUCUCGAGCUGAGAUUGUACCAGACUGUGGUGUUUGACGCAAAGCGCCCUAAAUCCAUUCGCCUAAAUUACAUCCGAAUGGCUCCUACGGACAAAUGUGUUUCGUGUUGUUCGACCCAUUUUAUUUUAUAGCACAUCUUGUACUUCACUAGAGUUUAUUAAACCCUAGCAAAUGUAACGACGGCAGACAAGUUGAAAAUCGAGAGACCGCUAAUUUUUUCGUCGUCGUAAAUUAAAUCGUUUAUACGAAUGGUAAACACAUAAAGUAUAAUGACGAUGAUGACCAUGUUGAUAAUAACGCUUAUAUGCGCGCACACUAUUUAAGUAAUAAAUAAAUAAUUGUUAGCUCGUGUGUGUGUGUGUCAUGCGAGACCCAGAAGGCGGAGGACGGAAAGGUAGACGCGUCCAGAGAAGAACUGUCCUAGCGCAGCAUGAGGUCUUGGAAGGCUUGUACGACACAGUUGGCCUGCCAUCGGCAAACAGUGAACAGAAAUGUCAACCGAUUUUUUUCAGAAAUUCCAACUCGACCGAUCCGUCAGACGUUUUUUGUCCAUGUCGCGAGACAGACCGCUGUUUUACCGCUGGGAACGGUCCCGUUCGGUCGAGUCACACUCGAGUGCAAUCGUCUCAAGCCUUUCCGAAUCGACCUGACCAUAACAAUCCCCGAAGAGACGGCCAGUUUGGUUUGCAUCAUUUGCAAAGAACAUUAAUACUAAUUAAACGUGUAUGAACUACUGUGUCAACUACUGUGAGUGAAUCGCCGAAACGAAUAUUGGUCAGUCGCCCGAAUCAGAUAAAACGAUUUUAGUUAAUUUACGUUUAAUUAGUUUCUAAUGAAAUUCACGUGAACGCGCGCGCAUUAGUAUUGUUUACGGUAUUUUUUUUUUCACGACAUGCAAUUAAAAAAAAAGGAUUAAUUUUCUCAUUUUUAUAGCGUGCGAAAUUAUCGCGAUUUUUCAGUUUACAAAUGCAAUAAUCGUACACGUUUAACUAUUGCCGUCGCCAAGUUGGGGCGACAAAAAGUAAGCACAGUAAAAUAUUGUGUGCACGUUAUUAUCAAACCGCAUGACCCUUGUGUUGUUUUUAGUUAAUUAAAACUAUAACGAACUAUAAAACGUUGCUCGUAAGUCGGCCGCAUUCGACGUACACCCAUAAUAACGAAUUAAUUAAAAAAAUAAAUUACACGUCCAAUGGCGUGCAAGUGUGUACAUGACUUGGGCGUGUACCGUUGCGGAUUCACUGGCAAGUCAUCAUCCGAGACACUGCGCUUUGUAGAGCCGUCGACUUGUUGGGGUGCCAUUAAAUUAGUCUUUUUUUAUACGUAUAAUUCAAUCGAAUAGAGUUCAACAGGCAGUUAACAAUUUCUAAAUCAAUCGAGCUGUGAACAAUGAACAAAUUUUAAAUGUAUCGAAAUCGAGUAAUUUGCAUACAUAAAUGCUAAUUUGAAAUGUUAGUGCGUAACUAUAGUACCGUGUAUUUUUAGUAAUUAUUUUCGGACAAUUUGGAAAAAAAAAACCGCAUUCGGCAUAUUUAUGUGUCGGUUGUCGUUUUGCUGGUCUACUCGUUAGUAGCGUAUUUAUUUUCAAAUAUUUACCAUAUUAUUGGUCGCGUGUAACUUUUCUACCAUUAAAUCAUUACAUAAUAAUUUAUGCAAAUAUUACUCCAUUCGUUUGCCCUUGACGCAAAAUUCAAUGCGGCCUUAUAACGCAAGAGUUAUUUAUCACAUACUUAAUACAAUUUAAUUUAAGAAAAACGUUUUUUUUCUCUUAAAUUAAAUUGUAUUUAUCGCGUAGAAAAUAUUUCUCGUGUUUGCUUACUCGUUCGGUUAUACAUUUUCGUUGGAACUAGAGGGACGGUAGCUGUUUAAAACCUUGAGACAACAGCUACGCUUUUUUACGAUACGAUCUACUGUUGUGAAAAUAAUUACUUGGGUCAACAAGUGACUUCUAAA